AUUGAACGCUGGCGGAAUGCUUUACACAUGCAAGUCGAACGGUAGAGGGGGCAACCCCUCGAGAGUGGCGAACGGGUGAGUAAUAUAUCGGAACGUGCCCAGUCGUGGGGGAUAACGGAGCGAAAGUUACGCUAAUACCGCAUACGAUCUAAGGAUGAAUGCAGGGGAUCGUAAGACAUCGCGCUAUUGUCGCGGCCGAGAUCAGAUUAGGUAGUUGGUGGGGUAAAGGCUCACCAAGCCAACGAUCUUUAGCUGGUCUGAGAGGACGACCAGCCACACUGGAACUGAGACACGGUCCAGACUCCUACGGGAGGCAGCAGUGGGGAAUUUUGGACAAUGGACGCAAGUCUGAUCCAGCCAUUCCGCGUGCAGGAUGAAGGCCCUCGGGUUGUAAACUGCUUUUGUACGGAACGAAAAGGUCUCUCUUAAUACGGGGGACUCAUGACGGUACCGUAAGAAUAAGCACCGGCUAACUACGUGCCAGCCGCCGCGGUAA
rnacentral:rRNA from 1 species